AUGUGUGUCCUCACAUGAACUCCGACUAGGGAUAACUUUAGAAUAACCAUACAAGUAAAGAGUUUCACAUACAAUUCACAUAAUUGCAGAUCAAUUCAAGUAGCCUUUAAUGGAUAUUCAAUGAACACAAUAUACAAAUCAUGGAUACAAAUGGAAUAUCAUCAUCUCUAUGAUUGCCUCUAGGGCAUACCUCCAACAGUAUGCACAAGCUAUCUAUAUAUAUAAUAUUAUCUCAAAUGUAAUAUUAUAGACCAAAUACAAUUAUAUAUAUAAUAGCGUAUUAGAUCUAGUAUACGUAAAGGAAAUAAAUAUGAAUAUAGAAUAAAGAAAUAGAAAAUAAAAUGAGAAAAGAAAAGGAGAGAAAAGGGCGUUAGUACCGGUUGGCCUCUGCCACGUGCGAUGUGGCAGCCAAUUUAGUACCGGUUGGAAAGACCAACUGGUACUAAAACUGAUACUAAACCCCCCUAGUACCGAUUUAGCACUACCGGUUUGCACAACUGGUACUGAAGGGGGUUUGGAACCGGUACUGAAGGCGGUUUCUCCAACAGUGUUCUCCC
rnacentral:lncRNA from 1 species